AUUGAACGCUGGCGGCAUGCUUUACACAUGCAAGUCGAACGGCAGCACGGGGGCAACCCUGGUGGCGAGUGGCGAACGGGUGAGUAAUACAUAGGAACGUAUCCUGAAAUGGGGGAUAGCUCGGCGAAAGCCGGAUUAAUACCGCAUACGCUCCACGGAGGAAAGCAGGGGAUCGCAAGACCUUGCGUUUCUGGAGCGGCCUAUGUCUGAUUAGCUAGUUGGCGGGGUAAUAGCCCACCAAGGCGACGAUCAGUAGCUGGUCUGAGAGGAUGAUCAGCCACACUGGGACUGAGACACGGCCCAGACUCCUACGGGAGGCAGCAGUGGGGAAUAUUGGACAAUGGGCGCAAGCCUGAUCCAGCCAUGCCGCGUGAGUGACGAAGGUCUUCGGAUUGU
rnacentral:rRNA from 1 species